CAGGAGAGGAUUUAAUGCUGCUGGGUCUGCAAGGGGUGGUGGGGUUGGUUGGGCCAGAUUGGCUUUGGUUAGUGCUAGGAAGCUUCUAGGCCUUGAGGGCUGUGCUGAUAGGGCAGACUGGCAUGACUGUGCAAAGCCAUCUGGGGCUAUGAGGGCUGCUAGGUCCUCUCCUGCAGAGCUGCUUUCCUGCUAGGUGGUCCCCAAAGGCACUCCUAUUUGUGCAAGAAGCAGCCAGUGCGGCAGCACUGUGUGCUCACCUCCCUCCUCUUUGGUGGAACUGCAUCCGGGGAUGAAUUUGGCUCAUUGCACUUGCUUCCAAGGACCCAAAGGGUAGCUCCUAUUGCAUCUUGCAACUACUGCUUUCGGCCAACGCUAAUAGCAACUCCUGCGUGGUCAGCGAAUUCUUUGGGAGGAUAGAAGCCGCCCUUAGUCCACAUGCAUAUUACAAAAGAUAUUUUCAGCCAUGUGCAGCUGUAAUCAACAGAGCUCAGCUUGGCAAUUUUAAUCCCCUGCCAUCUAGUUUGGGGUUGCUUGUUAUGCAGCCGGCAUUCACUCAACAUAAUGGUUGCUACCUGCCAAUGUGCUUUGAGGGAUAUUGUUAGCAUUAAAUUUGCCAUUUACAUUUUCAUGUUUGACAUAAUUGAGGAAUGAAUGCUCUUAUGAAAAUUAAACUUGUGGUCCUCCUGGACUACUGUAACCCUGUUAAAAUGUAAUGCGAUUCUUGAUGCGUCUUCUUUAGGUUUUUAUUAAAUAGAAUAUCUGUAUGACUAAUUCCCCUGGCCUAAAUGUAGGCUGGGAAGGAGCAUUAUUGAUAGGGCUGAGCACAAAUGGCCCUCUAUACUCAGCCUCUAAUGGCCUAAUAAUGCAUUAUACUUGAAUCAGAAAUACUUUCAGUUGUAGUGCUUAUUGCCAUUAUUGAAAACACCUGGAUGCUCCAUUCAUCAAGGUUACAUCAAAAUGGGCCCAUUUGUUUAUUAGUCUGUCAGUAAACAUCUUUAUUUAGUUUCAUGUUCCUCUGCUCUCAGUAACAUCGGGGAGGACGAGACCAUGUAGUGUAUCUUUCUGUGGUUUCCCGUUAUUAGUUUUCCCUUGAAAAGAAAGAUAAUGAAAAGUUUGGAUGGCUUCAUAAAGAAAACAUUUUUCUUGGACUUUUUUUUCUUUUUUCUUUCCCUUUUAGAAGGGG